AGUGAACGCUGGCGGUAGGCCUAACACAUGCAAGUCGAACGGCAGCACAGUAAGAGCUUGCUCUUACGGGUGGCGAGUGGCGGACGGGUGAGGAAUACAUCGGAAUCUACUUUUUCGUGGGGGAUAACGUAGGGAAACUUACGCUAAUAGCGCAUACGACCUACGGGUGAAAGCAGGGGAUCUUCGGACCUUGCGCGAUUGAAUGAGCCGAUGUCGGAUUAGCUAGUUGGCGGGGUAAAGGCCCACCAAGGCGACGAUCCGUAGCUGGUCUGAGAGGAUGCUCAGCCACACUGGAACUGAGACACGGUCCAGACUCCUACGGGAGGCAGCAGUGGGGAAUAUUGGACAAAGGGCGCAAGCCUGAUCCAGCCAUACCGCGUGGGUGAAGAAGGCCUUCGGGUUGUAAAGCCCUUUUGUUGGGAAAGAAAAGCAGCAGGUUAAUACCCCGCUGUUCUGACGGUACCCAAAGAAUAAGCACCGGCUAACUUCGUG
rnacentral:rRNA from 1 species